CAAUACCGUGCCACUGACUUUGCCUGCUACCAAAAACCUGCGUUAUUUAAUCAGUUGUAAUUGUAAUAUAUAGUGGUCUAUAUAGUAAAUAUAUAGUGUAUAUUAUUUUUAAGGAAAGUGUUUUCACUACAAGAGUAUUCUAGUAAUAAAACCAUGAGUUCUGUUGAUCUCAAGAGGACAUACUAGUCAGGUUAGAUGUAGAGGACAUUACUAGUCAGGUUAGAUGUAGAGGACAUUACUAGUCAGGUUAGAUGUAGAGCUAUAUCCAGGUUAGAAACGAGUGACUACUACCGCUUUCACUUCCUAAUCA
rnacentral:lncRNA from 1 species